rnacentral:lncRNA from 1 species
AGCUCCAGACUCUCCAGGCCCGCGCAGCUCUGGUCAAACAGCCUCACCACCGAACCUCUGGCUUUUUCUCCUUCCUGGUUUCACGGAGAGGCCCUACCCUGUGAAUCCCAGAGCAGCCAAACGUGUGCAGUACCCUGAGCAGGGGAGGAUGUCCUGUAGAAGAGAGAGAGACCUAGAGUAGCAGCGCCCGGGGGUGUGCAGGGGAUCAGGAGGAGGACCAGAGUACCCGGCCAGCGCGGAAAUUCAAAACUCAAAACUCCGGAGGAGCACGUGAUUUUUGUGAGCAGCUCUGGGAAGGGCUGCGAAAAUCCUGAAGGGAAGACAAGCCGCGUGCAAUUCCAAUGACAGCAGCUGCAUAUCCUCUCAGUUCUGGCUGCUGCUACAUGUGCACCAUUUCAAUGUCCAAUGAUAAGCACUUUGGGGAGCUGCACUUGGCAGAGGAAUGAGAAACCACGAUGGAACUUGACUGUUCACUGGUUUCACAGAUCCAACUAAUUGGGUCUUUAAAAUCAAAGAUCUUCUGAACCACAUUACUUUAAGAGAGAUGUAUCCUGGAAAGAUUCAGACUGUGAACAUUUCCCCCUCCAUCUCUCCCCUCAUCUCUGUCUACCCACAUAACAUAUCCAUAUCAAGCUCUGCAUUUGGCAGAAGGCACAUCAUUCAUUUCAGUGAUCUCUGCCAUCGGGUCUUGCAUGAAAAAGAAGCUGAGCAACAUGAUCCCUUUGACCCACUGCUGGAGCAACAAAUUUAUUAGAGAUAUAGGCAUGAGAAAUGAAAGGGAAGUAAAACAA